rnacentral:rRNA from 1 species
CAAGUCGAGGGGUAACAGAGAAAAGCUUGCUUUUUUGCUGACGACCGGCGCACGGGUGCGUAACGCGUAUGCAAUCUACCUUUUGCUAAGGGAUAGCCCAGAGAAAUUUGGAUUAAUACCUUAUAGUAUGAUGACUUGGCAUCAAGAUAUCAUUAAAGGUUACGGCAAAAGAUGAGCAUGCGUUCUAUUAGCUAGUUGGUAUGGUAACCGCAUACCAAGGCAACGAUAGAUAGGGGUCCUGAGUGGGAGAUCCCCCACACUGGUACUGAGACACGGCCCAGACUCCUACGGGAGGCAGCAGUGGGGAAUAUUGGACAAUGGGCGCAAGCCUGAUCCAGCCAUGCCGCGUGUGUGAAGAAGGCCUUAGGGUUGUAAAGCACUUUCAGGAGUGAGGAAGGGUGUACGGUUAAUACCCGUAUAUUUUGACGUUAACUCCAGAAGAAGCACCGGCUAACUCUGUGCCAGCAGCCGCGGUAGUACAGAGGGUGCGAGCGUUAAUCGGAAUUACUGGGCGUAAAGCGCGCGUAGGCGGUUUGUUAAGUCGGAUGUGAAAUCCCAGGGCUCAACCUUGGAAUGGCACCCGAUACUG